UGGGGAAUAUUGGACAAUGGGCGAAAGCCUGAUCCAGCCAUGCCGCGUGUGUGAAGAAGGUCUUCGGAUUGUAAAGCACUUUAAGUUGGGAGGAAGGGCAUUAACCUAAUACGUUAGUGUUUUGACGUUACCGACAGAAUAAGCACCGGCUAACUCUGUGCCAGCAGCCGCGGUAAUACAGAGGGUGCAAGCGUUAAUCGGAAUUACUGGGCGUAAAGCGCGCGUAGGUGGUUUGUUAAGUUGGAUGUGAAAUCCCCUGGCUCAACCUGGGAACUGCAUUCAAAACUGACUGACUAGAGUAUGGUAGAGGGUGGUGGAAUUUCCUGUGUAGCGGUGAAAUGCGUAGAUAUAGGAAGGAACACCAGUGGCGAGGGCGACCACCUGGACUAAUACUGACACUGAGGUGCGAAAGCGUGGGGAGCAAACA
rnacentral:rRNA from 1 species